rnacentral:rRNA from 1 species
AGUCGAACGAUGAUCCCAGCUUGCUGGGGGAUUAGUGGCGAACGGGUGAGUAACACGUGAGUAACCUGCCCUUGACUCUGGGAUAAGCCUGGGAAACUGGGUCUAAUACCGGAUAUGACCAUUCCACGCAUGUGGUGGUGGUGGAAAGCUUUUGUGGUUUUGGAUGGACUCGCGGCCUAUCAGCUUGUUGGUGGGGUAAUGGCCUACCAAGGCGACGACGGGUAGCCGGCCUGAGAGGGUGACCGGCCACACUGGGACUGAGACACGGCCCAGACUCCUACGGGAGGCAGCAGUGGGGAAUAUUGCACAAUGGGCGCAAGCCUGAUGCAGCGACGCCGCGUGAGGGAUGACGGCCUUCGGGUUGUAAACCUCUUUCAGUAGGGAAGAAGCGAAAGUGACGGUACCUGCAGAAGAAGCGCCGGCUAACUACGUGCCAGCAGCCGCGGUAAUACGUAGGGCGCAAGCGUUAUCCGGAAUUAUUGGGCGUAAAGAGCUCGUAGGCGGUUUGUCGCGUCUGCUGUGAAAGACCGGGGCUCAACUCCGGUUCUGCAGUGGGUACGGGCAGACUAGAGUGCAGUAGGGGAGACUGGAAUUCCUGGUGUAGCGGUGAAAUGCGCAGAUAUCAGGAGGAACACCGAUGGCGAAGGCAGGUCUCUGGGCUGUAACUGACGCUGAGGAGCGAAAGCAUGGGGAGCGAACAGGAUUAGAUACCCUGGUAGUCCAUGCCGUAAACGUUGGGCACUAGGUGUGGGGGACAUUCCACGUUUUCCGCGCCGUAGCUAACGCAUUAAGUGCCCCGCCUGGGG